CAAUUAUCUCCCUUUAAAUGUGAAGGAUACUAAAAAUGAGCGAUCCAUUUUCGAGUUCCAAAUACAUUCCUUGGACGAGUGGAGGUGACAGCCUGUUAAAAAAAGAGGAAUUUCAGUCAAGUAAUCGACAGAAACCCAUGCCUCCUAAAAAUACGACUUAGUUUCCCGAUGCAGUUGGCAAAGUUAUUGGUCAUGGCAGUGUGUGGCUUUUUGAAACAAUGUCCCACCCGUUCAUUGUGUUGCGGAGAUCAUGUCAGGUCAGCACAGGCAGUACCUAUCACUUAACCCCGUUUACACUGCCGACUGUGGUCUACCAGAUGAGCAGAAAUAAGCCGCCAGCGUGGGUGUACAAGGGGUUCAUUAGCUCCCUUCUUUCACGUGGCUUCAACAUGAUGGCAGAGAAUGUGCUCAACGAGAUGACCAACUGGCCACUAGCAGUUUCUGCAUACAGUUCCAUUAAAAAACAGUGCUUACACUUGUUGUUGAAAUGGUAAGGUACUUUUUAAUCAGUAAGAAAUGAAAAUUUGACAUACACCAAACGAUUGUUUAUUAUGCCCCCCUUCGAAGAAGAGGGGGUAUAUUGUUUUGCACAUGUCGGUCAGUCCGUCGAUCCGUCCACCAGAUGGUUUUCAGAUGAUAUCUCAAGAACGCUUAUGCCUAGGAUCAUGAAACUUCAUAGGUACAUUGAUCAUGACUGGCAGAUGACCCCUAUAGAUUUUCAGGUCACUAGGUCAAAGGUCAAGGCCACAGUGACUCGAAACAGUAAAAUGGUUUCCGGAUGAUAACUCAAGAUUGCUUACGCCAAGGAUCAUGAAACUUCAUAGGUACAUUGAUCAUGACUGGCAGAUGACCCCUAUCGAUUUUCAGGUCACUUAGUCAAAGGUCAAGGUCACAGUGAC